rnacentral:rRNA from 1 species
UACGUAGGGUGCGAGCGUUAAUCGGAAUUACUGGGCGUAAAGCGUGCGCAGGCGGCGCGUUAAGACAGGUGUGAAAGCCCCCGAGCUUAACUUGGGAAUUGCGCUUGUGACUGGCGUGCUGGAGUGUGGCAGAGGGAGGUGGAAUUCCACGUGUAGCAGUGAAAUGCGUAGAGAUGUGGAGGAACACCGAUGGCGAAGGCAGCCCCCCUGGGUUAACACUGACGCUCAGGCACGAAAGCGUGGGGAGCAAACAGG